rnacentral:piRNA from 1 species
UACUGGAAGUGAGAAUGUCGUCGCAGU